GGGCUCUCUUCUCACAACUCCGUUCCUGUUUCUGACAAACCUGAAUGCACUACUCCCAUCCAUGUGCAUUCUUUUAUCUCUGUCUCUGGCAGGGCCUGAUUUCACAGUCAUUUGAUUCUUUGCAUGGGUUUUUUGAGACAGGAGGAAGCUUGGAGUCCUCAGGAUGGUUUAGAAGCUGCUGGUUUGUGGCUGUUUCAUGGAGCCAUUUUGUGCAGGAAGGAGAGCUCAGAAUGAAGUUUCAUUGAUGAGUUAAUAGAAUUUUGGGGAAAACACAGUAUCCUGACAUUAUUUGUGAGAGGUGAUAGAGUAGCCCUGUGGUUAUGAAUGGAUCAAACCAGUGCUUUGCUUGGCUGUCACAGGGAGCUGGAGCUAAUGUCAAGGGCUGUGAUACACAAUCUCUUUGAAAUAAC
rnacentral:lncRNA from 12 species